UUGACAGUCAUGGAAUAUGAAGUCCUUUAUUCAUCCACAGAGCAGGUAGCAGAAGUGGCAGUUUCUUCUGCCCUGCCAGUUUUGGCUUAUCCCUGACCUUGUGAUAUUACUUCCAGUGGGAGCAUUUUCCUCUGUGUCCUUCUAAUCAUUGCAUUCU
rnacentral:sRNA from 1 species